UAGGACUUGGUGUAAUAGGUAGCACGAAGAGAUUUGGAUUCUCAGGGGUAGGUUCAAUUCCUAUAGUUCUGG
rfam:Pongo abelii chromosome 1.